GCACUGGCAAAAUCCAGCGUCGGGAUUGGACCCCCGUUUGAAUUUCUCGGCACAUAAGUGCCAGCAUAUUGCUGGUUUUUU
rnacentral:sRNA from 1 species